rnacentral:ribozyme from 14 species
UAGGAGAAAGAAGAAAAAAGUCAAGUUUUUUUUUUUUUUUUCAUUUUCACAUCCGCUUUCUAGCAGCUUC